rnacentral:rRNA from 1 species
UACGAAGGGGGCUAGCGUUGCUCGGAAUCACUGGGCGUAAAGCGCACGUAGGCGGAUCUUUAAGUCAGGGGGUGAAAUCCCAAGGCUCAACCUUGGAACUGCCUUUGAUACUGGGGAUCUCGAGUCCGGAAGAGGUUGGUGGAACUGCGAGUGUAGAGGUGAAAUUCGUAGAUAUUCGCAAGAACGACCAGUGGCGAAGGCGGCCAACUGGUCCGG